rnacentral:rRNA from 1 species
AGAAACGCGGGGGCAGGAGCCGGGGUAAUACGGAGGAUCCGGGCGUUAUCCGUAAUUUUUGGGUUUAAAGGGGGCGUAGGAGGGGGUUUAAGUCAGCUGUGAAAUGCCGUGGGCCAACCAUGGAACUGCAGUUGAAACUGGACCUCUUGAGAGUACAUAAGGAAGGCGGAAUUCGUGGUGUAGCGGUGAAAUGCAUAGAGAUCACGAAGAACUCCGAUUGCGAAGGCAGCUUUCCGGGGUACAUCUGACGCUGAAGCUCGAAAGUGCGGGUAUCGAACAGGAUUAGAUACCCGAGUAGUC